AAUUAAUGCAGGUUGGCUUUAACAGACAUAGUGUCAUAAAAUUUACCACAGGGAUAACUGGCUUUGGCGGCCAAGCGUUUGUAGCGAUGUCGUUGAUCCUUUGAGGUCAGCUCUUCCUAUCAUUGUGAAGCAGAAUUCACCAAGCUUUGGAUUGUUCACUCACUAAUAGGGAACGCGAGUUGAGUUUAGACCCUCGUGAGACAGGUUAGUUUUA
rnacentral:ncRNA from 1 species